UAUAAAGCUAUAACCAAGACUCAAUCUCAACGCGUCAGACAGGCAGCUCCGGCUGUCAGUCCGACCCUCCGUCACCCGCAGAAAGAGAGAGAGCGUCAGUCAGGGUUAUGAGCGUAACGUGAGCGGUUCAUAGGAGAUCCUACCCGGUCAUUGCCAUCUUUUUCAUUUAGGGCCAUUGAACAGGAAGUGCCCAUAUGGGACUGGGGAGGACGUAAGGACGCUGUUUACGUCAAUCAGUGUGUAGCCCCGCCCUAAAGCGCCGCCUGCUUUAUGGUCUGUUUGACUCUAGGAAGGUAGGAAGGGAAGUAAGGGAGGGAGGGAAGGAAGUGUGAAGGGAGGGAGGAAGGUAGGAAGGGAAGUGUGAAGGGAGGGAGGAAGGGAAGAAGGGAAGUAUGAAGGGAGGGAGGAAGGUAGGAAGGGAGGGAGGAAGGGAAGUGUGAAGGGAGGGAGGAAGGUAGGAAG
ensembl:lncRNA